GAAAUGCGAUAAGUAAUGUGAAUUGCAGAAUUCCGUGAAUCAUCGAAUCUUUGAACGCAUAUUGCGCCCUCUGGUAUUCCGGAGGGCAUGCCUGUCCGAGCGUCAUUACUAUCUUCAAGCACGGCUUGUUUGUUGAGCCAAUUGUUCUUUAAUGGGACAGGCCUGAAAUGCAGUGGCGAUGCCGAGUUUAGGUGCCCGAGUGUAUGGGGCUUUGUCACACGCUUUUUGUGGCCCAGCCGGCAUUCUGUCGACCUUGUGAUUUACCUAAGAUUUAACCUCGGAUCAGGUAGGAAUACCCGCUGAACUUAA
rnacentral:misc_RNA from 1 species